UUGCCUUAGUAGCGGCGAGUGAAGCGGCAAAAGCUCAAAUUUGAAAUCUGGCUCUUUCAGAGUCCGAGUUGUAAUUUGAAGAAGGUAUCUUUGGGUCUGGCUCUUGUCUAUGUUUCUUGGAACAGAACGUCACAGAGGGUGAGAAUCCCGUGCGAUGAGAUGAUCCAGGCCUAUGUAAAGUUCCUUCGAAGAGUCGAGUUGUUUGGGAAUGCAGCUCUAAGUGGGUGGUAAAUUCCAUCUAAAGCUAAAUAUUGGCGAGAGACCGAUAGCGAACAAGUACAGUGAUGGAAAGAUGAAAAGAACUUUGAAAAGAGAGUGAAAAAGUACGUGAAAUUGUUGAAAGGGAAGGGCUUGAGAUCAGACUUGGUAUUUUGUAUGUUACUUCUUCGGGGGUGGCCUCUACAGUUUAUCGGGCCAGCAUCAGUUUGGGCGGUAGGAGAAUUGCGUUGGAAUGUGGCACGGCUUCGGUUGUGUGUUAUAGCCUUCGUCGAUACUGCCAGCCUAGACUGAGGACUGCGGUUUAUACCUAGGAUGUUGGCAUAAUGAUCUUAAGUCGCCGC
rnacentral:rRNA from 1 species